rnacentral:sRNA from 1 species
CAGGGACUGAGCCCAUCACAGGGAUUCGUGCGACGGCGUGGAGUGCGGCCCGGGCAAGGCGUGCCGCAUGCUGGGGGGCCGCCCGCGCUGCGAGUGCGCGCCCGACUGCUCGGGGCUCCCGGCGCGGCUGCAGGUCUGCGGCUCAGACGGCGCCACCUACCGCGACGAGUGCGAGCUGCGCGCCGCGCGCUGCCGCGGCCACCCGGACCUGAGCGUCAUGUACCGGGGCCGCUGCCGCAAGUCCUGUGAGCACGUGGUGUGCCCGCGGCCACAGUCGUGCGUCGUGGACCAGACGGGCAGCGCCCACUGCGUGGUGUGUCGGGCGGCGCCCUGCCCUGUGCCCUCCAGCCCCGGCCAGGAGCUUUGCGGCAACAACAACGUCACCUACAUCUCCUCGUGCCACAUGCGCCAGGCCACCUGCUUCCUGGGCCGCUCCAUCGGCGUGCGCCACGCGGGCAGCUGCGCAGGCACCCCUAAGGAGCCGCCAGAUGGUGAGUCGGCAGAAGAGGAAGAGAACUUCGUGUGAGCCUGCAGGACAGGCCUGGGCCUGGUGCCCGAGGCCCCCCAUCAUCCCCUGUUAUUUAUUGCC